UGGACACUGCGCCCUGACACCAACUACUGCCGCCACUCCAGUAUUAGCGUCUGUUACUACGCCGCGGAGCUCUACAAUUCCUGAGAUCAUUUAGUGGUUACUCCUUACCUUCCUGGCUUGCCACACCUGGACCUGUCCUGCUGCGGAAGUUUGUUCGUAAUUCCAAAUCGGAUCCGUUAGUGGAAGAAGUUGAUCUCGAGAGUGCUACACCACACUACGCUCACAUUAGCCAUCCGGAUGGGAGAAGGUCUACCGUCUCUACGAGGGACCUGGCUCCAACCCCUAAGGAACAGACAACCAUGCAAGAGAACAUCAAUGGGACAACACCCACUGAAGAGAUUUCGGCUCCAGAACCGACUUCUACCGAUGACAGCGAUGGAGGGGCAGCCACUCCUGACGCUUGUUACCCAGCCUCCGAUGACACUAGACUUCCGGACACAAGAAAAAGCGACUCGCCCGAAACUUCCGAGGAAAGACCUGAACCACUAAGACGUUCAACAAGAGUCAGGAAAGCUCCGGAUAGACUAGGCGUGUGAUAUGUACGUAGUUAUUUGUAAGAGGGGGAGAAUGUGGUGAUUCUAUAGUUUAAGUUGUCUGUAUUUGUUGGGGUUUUAGUGCUUGUUCGUUUUAGUGUUUCAUAUGUAUCGUUCGGGAUAGGUGAUUCGUAUGUAAUAUGAAUCGUAUUAUAUGGUUUCGAAACUAACGUAUCUAGUUUCUUCGUCGAUGAAGCCAGUGCACUCGGGCUGCAGGUACUGUACGCACCUAGGGUUUUCUUGCCGAGUAAAGCCUAGAGAAAAGGG